GAUGAACGCUGACAGAAUGCUUAACACAUGCAAGUCUUUGGCGAAGCUGUGCUUGCACAGCCUAGCCAAGGCGGACGGGUGAGUAACGCGUAAGGAACUUGCCCUGCAGUCAGGGAUAACAGACGGAAACGACUGAUAAGACCUGGUAAAGUCAGGCGGACUCAUGUCCAGCCUGAUGAAAAGAGAUGCUGCAGGAGAGCCUUGCGUCCUAUUAGCUUGUUGGUGGGGUAACGGCCCACCAAGGCGAUGAUAGGUAGCCGGCCUGAGAGGGUGGACGGCCACAAGGGGACUGAGAUACGGCCCUUACUCCUGCGAGAGGCAGCAGUGGGAAAUAUUGGACAAGGGGGGCAACCCUGAUCCAGCAAUUCUGUGUGCACGAUGAAGGUUUUCGGAUUGUAAAGUGCUUUCAGCAGGGAAGAAAAAAAUGACGGUACCUGCAGAAGAAGCGACGGCUAAAUACGUG
rnacentral:rRNA from 1 species